UACGUAGGGGGCAAGCGUUGUCCGGAUUUAUUGGGCGUAAAGAGCGUGUAGGCGGCCAGGUAGGUCUGCUGUGAAAACUCGAGGCUCAACCUCGAGCUGUCGGUGGAAACCAUCUGGCUAGAGUCCGGAAGAGGAGAGUGGAAUUCCCGGUGUAGCGGUGAAAUGCGUAGAUAUCAAGAGGAACACCUGCGGCGAAGGCGGGUUGCUGGGCCGUUCUUGACGCUGAGGCGCGAAAGCUAGGGUAGCAAACGGG
rnacentral:rRNA from 1 species